rnacentral:rRNA from 1 species
UGGGGAAUUUUGGACAAUGGGCGCAAGCCUGAUCCAGCCAUGCCGCGUGCGGGAAGAAGGCCUUCGGGUUGUAAACCGCUUUUGUCAGGGAAGAAAUCUUCUGAGUUAAUACCUCGGGAGGAUGACGGUACCUGAAGAAUAAGCACCGGCUAACUACGUGCCAGCAGCCGCGGUAAUACGUAGGGUGCAAGCGUUAAUCGGAAUUACUGGGCGUAAAGCGUGCGCAGGCGGUUUUGUAAGACAGAGGUGAAAUCCCCGGGCUCAACCUGGGAACUGCCUUUGUGACUGCAAGGCUUGAGUGCGGCAGAGGGGGAUGGAAUUCCGCGUGUAGCAGUGAAAUGCGUAGAUAUGCGGAGGAACACCGAUGGCGAAGGCAAUCCCCUGGGCCUGCACUGACGCUCAUGCA